rnacentral:lncRNA from 10 species
UGGACAUCAACCUCCUAAGAAUACUGGAAAAUUACAAAUUUAUAACCUCUCUCCUUGAGAUUGAACUUGAGAUACAAGUUCAUUAAUCUUUAAGAUGAGGAAUGAGAGUACAACCCUGGAGUCUGACUUUUACUUAUUGCUUUCUACUUUUUACUAGAAUGAAUUUUCUCCCUCAUGUGUGUUUGGAAUAUUUUGCUUCCACUUAAAGAAAUCUUCCAACUGAAUUUAAAGAAGACCACACUGUGAUUAAGAGGAUGUUGGAGUGUAAUAAAGAUGAGAAGACAGCAAGAGAUGAACCAUAUUUGGGGGUACUAAAACAACCUAUAAGUAUGGUCACAGAGCCUCUCACAGGGUGGAUCUUUGGGUCUCCAUGGAGAAUGUAAGAGGUGGUAAAGAAUGAGGGCGGGUUCUCACUCAUAGGUGGAAUUGAACAAUGAGAACACUUGGACACAGGGUGGGGAUCGUCACACCCCGGGGGCCUGUCGUGGGGUGGGGGCGGGGGACGGAUAGCAUUAGGAGAAACGCCUAAUGUAAAUGACGAGUUAAUGCGUGCAGCAAACCAACAUGGCACAUGUAUACCUAUGUAACAAUCCUACACGUUGUUCACAUGGACCCUAGAACUUAAAGUAUAAUAAUAAAAAAAAGAAAAUUCAAUUAGAAAGAAUUAAAUUCAAAUAUAUAAUUAAAAAAAGAAUGAGGGCAGGAAGAAAAUUUUUCUGGGUUGAGGAAGAGAAAAACAUACAUCUUUGAAACUGUGGACAUCCAGCUUAGGCCAGCCCUGAGUUAUCAUGUAGAGGAGAGAUGGGACUUACUUUCUGUGGUUCCAGCUGAAAAAAAAAAUACCUAGCACUUAGG